rnacentral:miRNA from 1 species
GCAGACACAUUCCAGCCAAUCAGCAGCAGACCCUCCCUCCCAGACCCUCCCACCUCCUGGACAGCAUCCAUUGUGAAGCUGCAUUCUUAGUGAGCUGUCCAGGAGGUGGGAGGGUAUGGGAGGGAGGGUCUGCUGCUGAUUGGCUGGAAUGUGUCUG